rnacentral:rRNA from 2 species
GAACGCUGGCGGCGUGCCUAAUACAUGCAAGUCGAACGAGUUCUCGUUGAUGAUCGGUGCUUGCACCGAGAUUCAACAUGGAACGAGUGGCGGACGGGUGAGUAACACGUGGGUAACCUGCCCUUAAGUGGGGGAUAACAUUUGGAAACAGAUGCUAAUACCGCAUAGAUCCAAGAACCGCAUGGUUCUUGGCUGAAAGAUGGCGUAAGCUAUCGCUUUUGGAUGGACCCGCGGCGUAUUAGCUAGUUGGUGAGGUAAUGGCUCACCAAGGCGAUGAUACGUAGCCGAACUGAGAGGUUGAUCGGCCACAUUGGGACUGAGACACGGCCCAAACUCCUACGGGAGGCAGCAGUAGGGAAUCUUCCACAAUGGACGCAAGUCUGAUGGAGCAACGCCGCGUGAGUGAAGAAGGCUUUCGGGUCGUAAAACUCUGUUGUUGGAGAAGAAUGGUCGGCAGAGUAACUGUUGUCGGCGUGACGGUAUCCAACCAGAAAGCCACGGCUAACUACGUGCCAGCAGCCGCGGUAAUACGUAGGUGGCAAGCGUUAUCCGGAUUUAUUGGGCGUAAAGCGAGCGCAGGCGGUUUUUUAAGUCUGAUGUGAAAGCCCUCGGCUUAACCGAGGAAGCGCAUCGGAAACUGGGAAACUUGAGUGCAGAAGAGGACAGUGGAACUCCAUGUGUAGCGGUGAAAUGCGUAGAUAUAUGGAAGAACACCAGUGGCGAAGGCGGCUGUCUGGUCUGUAACUGACGCUGAGGCUCGAAAGCAUGGGUAGCGAACAGGAUUAGAUACCCUGGUAGUCCAUGCCGUAAACGAUGAAUGCUAGGUGUUGGAGGGUUUCCGCCCUUCAGUGCCGCAGCUAACGCAUUAAGCAUUCCGCCUGGGGAGUACGACCGCAAGGUUGAAACUCAAAGGAAUUGACGGGGGCCCGCACAAGCGGUGGAGCAUGUGGUUUAAUUCGAAGCAACGCGAAGAACCUUACCAGGUCUUGACAUCUUUUGAUCACCUGAGAGAUCAGGUUUCCCCUUCGGGGGCAAAAUGACAGGUGGUGCAUGGUUGUCGUCAGCUCGUGUCGUGAGAUGUUGGGUUAAGUCCCGCAACGAGCGCAACCCUUAUGACUAGUUGCCAGCAUUUAGUUGGGCACUCUAGUAAGACUGCCGGUGACAAACCGGAGGAAGGUGGGGAUGACGUCAAAUCAUCAUGCCCCUUAUGACCUGGGCUACACACGUGCUACAAUGGAUGGUACAACGAGUUGCGAGACCGCGAGGUCAAGCUAAUCUCUUAAAGCCAUUCUCAGUUCGGACUGUAGGCUGCAACUCGCCUACACGAAGUCGGAAUCGCUAGUAAUCGCGGAUCAGCACGCCGCGGUGAAUACGUUCCCGGGCCUUGUACACACCGCCCGUCACACCAUGAGAGUUUGUAACACCCGAAGCCGGUGGCGUAACCCUUUUAGGGAGCGAGCCGUCUAAGGUGGGACAAAUGAUU